GGCCGCAAGGUUAAAACUCAAAUGAAUUGACGGGGGCCCGCACAAGCGGUGGAGCAUGUGGUUUAAUUCGAUGCAACGCGAAGAACCUUACCUACUCUUGACAUCCAGAGAAUUUAGCAGAGAUGCUGAAGUGCCUUCGGGAACUCUGAGACAGGUGCUGCAUGGCUGUCGUCAGCUCGUGUUGUGAAAUGUUGGGUUAAGUCGCGCAACGAGCGCAACCCUUAUCCUUUGUUGCCAGCGAUU
rnacentral:rRNA from 1 species